GUCUUAGAGGAAGAACUGUCAAACUUUACAGUUCAUAUCAUGUGAAGCUAACAGUAGUUUCAAUAGCUUAUUUGGACAGACAAUUUUCACUAGUAAAAACCACUUCUGCUUAGUGUGAGCAUAUUGCUAAAUGAAGUUCAUAUUUCUAUUACUUUCUACUCAAGUCACCCAAGAGAAAUUUUAUUUAAAGCGAAAACUUUUUAUAAUGCAUUUUUCAUUGUUUUUGUUUUUUUUUACUUAAGGAGCAUACUACUUCCACAAACCUGAUUUGAUUGUCACUAACUUUCAAAUUGAAAGGGAUCUACUACAACUGCUCAUGAAUUUCGAGAUUUUACAGCUAAUAGAGGAACAAAUUUUAUCUGCUUCCACUUAGCCAAACAGCAUGGAAAUAUGCUAUUGUAAUGAGUAGAAGAUAUUUGUCAUUUAGAGUAUCAUGCAACAGCUAAUUAUCAGUACACACAUUUCAAGAUGAGGAAAAGAACAGUAUAAGCUACAUUCAUUGAUGCAUUAUUUAUACAAAAAUGUAUAGUCAACCCAGUCAUCACUCCAUUUUUUUAUGAAGCCAGUUACAGUUACCAUGAAGGGAUGAAAUUUCAGAUAAUAUUCUGUUUAUUUCAUGAAAUGAGAAUAGGCCUACAUCAGAAAUUGAAAUGGUCAUCUUCAGUAUUUAAUGUUUCAUCUAAAAAUGAUAAUUAUAUUAAUACAUAUUUGAUGUACAAACAAAUGAAAACCAUUCAAACACUUUUUUUUUGUGAAGUAUAGAUGAUUAAACUUGUAAGUGUCUGAACAAUA